GACAGAGGGUGCAAACGUUGUUCGGAAUUACUGGGCGUAAAGCGUGUGUAGGCGGCCGCGCAAGUCGGAUGUGAAAGCCCUGGGCUCAACCCAGGAAGUGCACCCGAUACUGCGUGGCUCGAGUACCGGAGAGGUUGGUAGAAUUCUCGGUGUAGAGGUGAAAUUCGUAGAUAUCGAGAGGAAUACCUGUGGCGAAGGCGGCCAACUGGACGAGUACUGACGCUGAGACACGAAAGCGUGGGGAGCAAACAGG
rnacentral:ncRNA from 3 species